rnacentral:rRNA from 1 species
GUCCCUACGGGGGGCAGCAGUGGGGAAUAUUGCACAAUGGGGGGAACCCUGAUGCAGCGACGCCGCGUGGGUGAAGGAGUAUUUCGGUAUGUAAAGCCCUAUCAGCAGGGAAGAACAAUGACGGUACCUGACUAAGAAGCACCGGCUAAAUACGUGCCAGCAGCCGCGGUAAUACGUAGGGGGCAAGCGUUAUCCGGAAUUACUGGGUGUAAAGGGAGCGUAGACGGCAAUGCAAGUCCGGAGUGGAAUGCGGCAGCUCAACUGCCGAACUGCUCUGGAAACUGUAUGGCUUGAGUGCAGGAGGG